GAAAUUUUUUGUUUGUAAACCAAAGAGGAAGAAUUAUAAGCCAGACACUUACAUCACCUGACAGAUGUGUUUCUCAAUCACCUAAGUUUAUUUAAGGCCUGGUUUUGUUUUGGAAUUGUUGUUUUGUUUUGGAAUUGUUGUUUUGUUUGUUUUUAACAAGAAUUGGGGUAAAGCAAAUGGGGAAAGAACUAAAAAGCAAAGAGGAAAAUGGUGUCAUACUUGACACAUUCUGUAUUCUUUGGUGGUGUGGUGGGGGGGAUGUAGUUGACUCUGCUCUCCUACAACCACUGUCAGAAGCACCAAGUCUUUCUUUAUGUCUGGAAGUAAAUAACCCCACCAGCCCAGCCCGAAACUCUAUAGCUACUAGCUACUGGAAGAACAGUAACACAUAAUAACAUGGUAGCAACACAUAAAGCUGUCAAUCCUAAAGGGAAAUGGAUGCCUUAGCUGAGGAGGUAAACAGACUAAAUCAAUUUUAACAUGCAUGUUAAGGUCUGUGAAAGGGCAGAGUUUAGUGCUGCUAGGCUGAAAAGCAUUUGUCUCUGUCUCAUUGUAUUUCCCCACCAUUCAAUGGCACACACCCACAGGCUUCUCGCUUGGCUCCAGUCAGGCUCCACGGCUGAUUAAUGACAGCUGGAGGUGUCCAGUAAUUUCCUCACCUAAUAAUAAACUACAGCCCAAAAGAGUGGUUCCCCUCAGGCCCAUGUUUAACAGAACUGUACUUACCACCACCAGUAGAAAGAAAGCCAAUUACCAUGUCUGAGAUAAGGCACAUUUAAGCAGCUUUCCGGGACCUAUUAAGCUGGCUUUGGGCACCUCGUCUUUUUUCUACCUUUGGACAAGCUACACUCAGAUAAUGUCUGGGUCAGUUAUAUAAUGACCCAGCGUUCUAAAAAUAUCUCUGUCAUCCCUGCAGGACACAGCCUAAAUUGGAGAACUGUCUCGCCUAAGCACAGAUCAAAGGACAUAUGAGCACCCACACCAACAUUAAAGCAAAUGGCAUUCAUUCCCUUAUUCUUAUCCCAGGGUCACCAACUUACACAACGAUUGCUACUGUUCUUGGGCUCAAGCAACCAGUCUGCCUCACAACAUCCUGCCCAAAGGUGCCCACUAAAACAUUUUAUAGGAUAAUAUAUUUUCAGCAAGAACUUUGCCAGAUUCUACCGCUCUGCGAGUUUUCCCAGCACUAAUAUUUUUGGCUUCUUUGGAACUGGGCUGGCCCUUAGAAGAAGAGUGUUUUGUGAUCAGUCAUGCCCAUGACAGACGUUUUACAGAUGUACAAUAUACCCUUUCCACAGCAGUCAUUUUGUGGGAGAACCAAAUAUAUCCACCAACUCAAAAAUCCGUGGUAUAUGUGAAGACCCAAACUGUUAACUGUAUUCAAGAGUCUAUAGACUCUGGACCAAUGACCAAUAUUCUCUGAAAGACACACAUGCAGCAGAAGGGGGAGUGGAUCUCCAGACAUGGAAGAAACUGAAUAUUUGCUGAGACUGGUCAACAUGGUAGAUGACCUAUACAAGCUGAGUGAAUGCAACUUGGUGUUCCUGGAUAUCUCAGCAGCUCUUAAUAUAUCAAGCCUAGCACUCAAAAAGCACAAGCACUGCUUUCUAUGAAAAGUAUUGAGCCUUUGCAAGCAUUCCAAGAUCAUACUUGUAAAACUUUGAAUGUUUUGCAAGAAUUUAAUGGGCAAGCUCGUGUCAGAGAAUCCCAGUUUGACAGCUGCAAGAAUGUAUGCUCAGAUCCACAGGGCAACACCUUCACCUUAAACCUCAGCAGUUUUAUUGGGGAGAACAACCCUUGUGUGACCUGGGAAAUCCUGCUCCCAGUUCAAGGAUUCACCGCAUUUCUAAUUUCACAAGUUUAUCUUGAUGACUGAAUCAGCUGUAAAUCCCGGUUAGCACAUGAGUACAAUCUGAUUGUUGAACCAAUUGAUAACUUGUAUAUACAGAUAAGCCAUCAGACACCAAGUGCUGAAGAGAUGUCAUAUCAACUUCAUGAUGCUUUCCAUUCUUUUUUAGUGGGUGGUUGUAUGUUCUAAUGGCAAUCAACAAUGAAUGCUUUAUCUAUGUCCAUAAUAAAGUUGUCUGUGCUGCA